CUUGCUUUGUGACUGGUGGCCUUAGGAGGAAGGGUCACCAUUGUUUACAUCCCCCCUGUAGUCUCCCCUGUGGAAUGACAUUUUAGUGACAAGAUUGUCUACACACGUGAAGCUUGUCUUCCUAUCAAUUGAUCGAUGACUGAUAUCUAUCAAAUUUCUCCAUCUAUCAGUUCAAUAGCUCUUACUCAUUCUGUUUCUCUGGAGCAUCGGAAGUCACAGAGAUCUCACUUCUAGCUGAACAGCCCACCUGUCUACUUCCUUGCCUAGACAGUAUGUAGCGGUGACCCUGUGCACAAGUGCAGAUGGAGUACGUGGCGUACCCAGCAGCCUGCAGCUGAUGCUGUUACCAGGGACCAGCACGAUGCACUUCAUCUGCAUAGUCACUAAUGAGAAGGCUGAGCAAACAUCCUGCAGGCCACGACUCCAGAGGACAGCGGUGCUCCUGGGACCAGUAGCCUCUAUCCAGGAAGUCUCCAGGGGAGAGAGAGAGAGGCCUGUGCCCAUUAUCAGCUCUGCCGUCCAGUCUAGAAACUAUGGUUGGACAAGGUCAUCAUCUCCAUCCCCAGGGCCAUAUUUGUCACCCAACCACAGACAGAGCUGUCAUCACUUCACCAUCUGCUGAGCCUUCUUGUAAAGACACGGUAUCCGCAAGUGUCUACCCUCACAGUAGCUGCCUCUUUUCCCAUUGUUAUUCUCUGGGAGCCCACCCUCCAAACAGCGCAUGCCCAGCCUCCAAACAGUGCAUGCCCAGCCCAAUAAACACUGCAAAGCAU